UACGUAGGGGGCAAGCGUUGUCCGGAUUUAUUGGGCGUAAAGAGCGUGUAGGCGGCCAAGCAGGUCCGCUGUGAAAACUCGAGGCUCAACCUCGAGACGUCGGUGGAAACCGUUUGGCUAGAGUCCGGAAGAGGAGAGUGGAAUUCCCGGUGUAGCGGUGAAAUGCGCAGAUAUCGGGAAGAACACCCGUGGCGAAGGCGGAUCUCUGGGCCUGUCCUGACGCUGAGGCGCGAAAGCUAGGGGAGCGAACAGG
rnacentral:rRNA from 1 species